CCCGAAUGAAAUGCAGCAAACAAAAAAGAAAACACCCCCGAAUGAAAUGCAGCAAACAAAAAGUGUUGAAAACGGAAGUGCUCCAGACCACUAGGGGGAGUCAAAGAAAAUAGUAUUCAUUUCUAUGGGACCAGAUGCAAGAUUCAGAGAAAGAUAUUUGAAAGAAAGUAAAGGUGGCCAUGUUUUGCUGUUUCUGUGGACAAAAUCUAGGAACAAUUCAAGUUUUCUGUUUUUCAUGUGGGAAGAAUGUGCAGAUCUUGGCACAAGCUCAAGACACUGAUUCAAGGAUGGCCUUUCAACACUGAACUUCCAGAAUGCUUUGGAGCAGCAUGCUUCCAUCUUCAGGCCAUUUAUGCGUGCAAGAGUGGAACAGCUGACAUCCAAAAUAUUGGAGGAAAUAUUUGAGGUUCAGCUCAGUGAAAAGGAACAAAAAACGGGUUUCUCUCUCCAGGACGUCCUGAUGUUUGCCACCGGCUUGAACACACUACCUCCAUCUUCAAUUCUGCCACCACCAAAACUGAUCUUUCAGGCCACUUCUCGUUUUCCUGUCAGUAGCACCUGCUCCAACACUAUCAAAAUACCAAUGUCCAAGACGUAUCAUCAGUUUAAAGAAGACAUGGACUUUGGGAUUCAAAACUCCCCUGGGUUUGGGCUUUAUUAAGGUCAAAUGCAUAACAAAACAAAAUGCUAUCUAUUUAACUUGUCAAACCUGUUC